GACUGGGAAGGCACAAUUUUCAGAGCAGAAGUUGGAAUGCAGGCACUUAACGCUUCCCUUAUGGGGAACAUACAGCCCUUCAGAUGUUGAUGGAUUACAACUCCAAUCAUCCCUGACCAUUGUCUGUGCUGAGGAUGUUGGGGUCCAAGAAUGUCUGGAGGGUCUUAGGUUGCUCAUCCCUGUCUUAUGUGCUGCCUUCUACCUUCAAUUUCUCCCUCAUCUGCUUCUCUUUUCUCCAGCCCAGAACUGUGUUUUCAUCCAAAACAUUCAUUUGGAACUGAACUAGGAGAACAGCUGUUGAGAGUUGGGGCUACAGAAGGGAAGUGGUGGUGAUCGUGAAGCUUAACUGCUCUUCCUACACUGCAGACUCUGAAGACAUGCAGCAAAGCUGAUGGUAUAAUUUCCAUCCACAUUCUCAGUGCGAUUGGUUAAGUGCUUCUGUGAGGCUGGGUUCCUUCUGGCUUGGAAUGGCAGGCAGGACUCUGCUUGUUCGGAGGGGCUCUGCUGACAGCACUGAACCGUAACAGUAAAGGUUAAGGAACCCACUUGCUGAGUUGUUGCUGAGCAAGGAGGAUCCAUGGAGAGUAUCAUUUCAUUAGGGGGCACGUUUCAUAAGAAAGCCGCCAAACCUCCUUCACUGUAGGUCAGAAAACAACGAGGGCCACUGCCAGAGCUCUGCAGCUCUUUUCAGUUGGUUUCCAUGGUCACCUGUCA